AUCCGGCUAACGAGUUCAAAUAGGACGAAACGCAUGUCUUGGAU
rnacentral:hammerhead_ribozyme from 1 species